GACGAACGCUGGCGGCGUGCUUAACACAUGCAAGUCGAGCGGUAAGGCCCUUUCGGGGUACGACGAGCGGCGAACGGGUGAGUAACACGUGGGUGACCUGCCCUCCAGCUCUGGGAUAAGCCGUGGGAAACCGGGUACUAAUACCGGAUAUGACUCCAUGACGCAUGUUGUGGGGUGGAAAGCCUUGUGCGGCUGAGGAUGGGCCCGCGGCCUAUCAGCUUGUUGGUGGGGUGGAUGGCCUACCAAGGCGACGACGGGUAGCCGGCCUGAGAGGGCGACCGGCCACACUGGGACUGAGACACGGCCCAGACUCCUACGGGAGGCAGCAGUGGGGAAUCUUGCGCAAUGGGCGAAAGCCUGACGCAGCGACGCCGCGUGAGGGAUGACGGCCUGGUGUAACGUACUUC
rnacentral:rRNA from 1 species